rnacentral:rRNA from 1 species
GCAUAUCAAUAAGCGGAGGAAAAGAAACCAACAGGGAUUGCCCUAGUAACGGCGAGUGAAGCGGCAACAGCUCAAAUUUGAAAUCUGGCUCUCGGGCCCGAGUUGUAAUUUGUAGAGGAUGCUUUUGAUGCGGUGCCUUCCGAGUUCCCUGGAACGGGACGCCAUAGAGGGUGAGAGCCCCGUCUGGUUGGAUGCCAAAUCUCUGUAAAGCUCCUUCGACGAGUCGAGUAGUUUGGGAAUGCUGCUCUAAAUGGGAGGUAUAUGUCUUCUAAAGCUAAAUACCGGCCAGAGACCGAUAGCGCACAAGUAGAGUGAUCGAAAGAUGAAAAGCACUUUGAAAAGAGAGUUAAAAAGUACGUGAAAUUGUUGAAAGGGAAGCGUUUAUGACCAGACUUGGGCUUGGUUAAUCAUCUGGGGUUCUCCCCAGUGCACUUUUCCAGUCCAGGCCAGCAUCAGUUUUCGCCGGGGGAUAAAGGCUUCGGGAAUGUGGCUCUCUCCGGGGAGUGUUAUAGCCCGUUGCGUAAUACCCUGGCGGGGACUGAGGUUCGCGCAUCUGCAAGGAUGCUGGCGUAAUGGUCAUCAACGACCCGUCUUGAAACACGGACCAAGGAGUCGUCUUCGUAUGCGAGUGUUCGGGUGUCAAACCCCUACGCGUAAUGAAAGUGAACGCAGGUGAGAGCUUCGGCGCAUCAUCGACCGAUCCUGAUGUUCUCGGAUGGAUUUGAGUAAGAGCAUACGGGGCCGGACCCGAAAGAAGGUGAACUAUGCCUGUGUAGGGUGAAGCCAGAGGAAACUCUGGUGGAGGCUCGCAGCGGUUCUGACGUGCAAAUCGAUCGUCAAACAUGGGCAUGGGGGCGAAAGACUAAUCGAACCUUCUAGUAGCUGGUUUCCGCG